GUGAGCGUGGCUGAACGGCAUGAGGCACCCGGUUGCAACCCGGGAUCACGGGAGUUCAACUCUCCCCGCUCACUCCA
rnacentral:tRNA from 1 species